rnacentral:misc_RNA from 1 species
UCUCCGUUGGUGAACCAGCGGAGGGAUUAUUACCGAGUUUACAACUCCCAAACCCAAUGUGAACCAUACCAAACUGUUGCCUCGGCGGGGUCACGCCCCGGGUGCGUCGCAGCCCCGGAACCAGGCGCCCGCCGGAGGGACCAACCAAACUCUUUCUGUAGUCCCCUCGCGGACGUUAUUUUUACAGCUCUGAGCAAAAAUUCAAAAUGAAUCAAAACUUUCAACAACGGAUCUCUUGGUUCUG